AACCGCGGCACCGCAAGCACAGGCACUGCCCGGUGAUCCACUGUGUAGCUUCGGGCAACUCACUUUCUUCUCAAUCCCUUUCUAUCUGUAAAGAUGAUGAGCUCAAUUAGAUGGUAAACUUCAGAAGUGAAAGUGGUGUCACUGGUGUUGGCAUGAAGCAUGAGGGGUUUUUUGUGUCAGUGACACUGACGAGCCUUGCAUGUGUAAUGGCAGUAUGGGAAGAGAGACGGAUAGAUUUGAAUAGCAAUAAGGUCAAAUCGAGGAGGGCCUUGAGAAGCACCAGUGAGGUUCUCAGUACCCCCAAGGAAACAAACCCACAUCCCAGCUGGGCUCUUUCCUAAGAGGUUCAGCAGUCUGUGCCACAGCAGGACCAUGGUAUGAAGGCAGGUCUCGAGGAGAGCAUAUUGGGUCUUCAGGUAGCUGUUCAGCCAAGUGUGUAUUGCUGGCAUUAAAUAGCCCUGCCUGAGAUGAGAGCUCGUAGCAUCAGGAUUGAUAUGUGAAAAACAUCAACAAAUUCAGGACAUGCAGCAACAGUGAGCAGGAUUUCUGUGAACAGUUUGGCCAUUCAUUAACAAAAAGAAAAUAUUUGUCAUCACUUUUCCCCAGAAUGUUUUUACAAUGGCAGCUGCUACCUGAGCUGGUAUUUGUGUUGCUGAGCAAGUGAGCAGCAUCCUAAGGAAAUAAACACACAGGCAGGUGUGCAGCCAUGCUCAUUUGCUGCUUUUUGAGGGCAGAAGAAGGGUGAUGUAAUUAGCAGACACAUGUUUAAAUUUUUAAUUAAGAGUUUUAAUGGAUUAUUCACUGCCUACCAGAACACACAUGCUCUUACUUUCUCACUUUUUCAGUCUGGGUUCCUAAGGAAACCAGGCUUAGUCAGUCAUGCUGCCUGCCUGCCUGCCAGCCUUCCUUCCUAAUCAGUGUUGAACUCUUUCGGGUUCAUGGCAGGCGAACACCACUUUUCUGGUAAAAUCAUGACUGCAUCACAACACAGUGGUAGCAAAAGGUCUGAGCAGCUGCUGCAGAGUUUAGCAGUAGGCACAAAUAGAUUUUUCCAGGAACAGGGCCGAGUCUCCAGCAAAAUCAGCAGGGGCAGAGGGAGGAAGGCAUGAGAGGAAAGAAGGGGAAGAAGAAAAAAAGAUCCUGAUGGGCUGGCUGCAUCUUUUCCAGACCCCCUCUGACUUACUUGAUGUUCAAAGAGCAAUUUUUUAACAUUUUUUUAGUCUCAUGCCGCUUGCUGAUGCAGUGAUACUCUUUAUGGUACCUGUGUGAUACAAGUUGCAACAUUGGGCUGAAGGGCACAAAACUGAAAGACCUACCGGACUGCAAGGGUUCUAAGUGCCACAGCUGGCACAAGUUAUUUUCUUCUGCUUGUGAAUUCACGGAAUUAUUUCCACGACACCUCUAUACUUUGUGUAGAGAAAAGCUAGUGAUCUAAGAAAAAGAGUUCCCAAGGUGUCCAGACCAGCGUUCUUAUCCCUGGGAGUGUGGAAACAAUGUAAGGCUGUUCAUUUUCUCCUUCCAUGAUUCAGUAUCAUCAAUGGUAGGUUUGAUUCCUGGAUGAAUUCACCAUUUCUGUUCUUCUAUGAAGGAAAAUGGGUUAAUAUUUUUGCUGAGAUCAUCCGUCUUUAAAAGCUGUGGAGAUUUUGAGAGGAACGGCCUGUCAGGAAGCAGCCAUAGCUGGCUCUCUGCAAGGAAAGGUGAGCUGGAAGCUGAGACACCAACACAGCUGGCAGGACAGGAGUCUCAGCAGUCCCACAGCCCCCAGUGAGCCAAGCAAGGCAGGUCCAGAGCGGGAGCGAGGAUCAGGCACAGCCCUGGGAACACCAGGCAGGUUCCUGGUGAAAAGGCAGGUCUGAGACCAGGCUGGAAGUCAUCUCCAGGUCAGGGUUUAGGUCCAAAGCAAUGGGUCCAGAGGUAGGGACAGGUGUGACUGCAGCAUGGCAGGAGCUUUAGCUCAGAUGGGGCCUGAUGGAAGGGGCUUAGCUUAAAAGCAGGUCCCACAGGAAGUGGUAUCAGCCCUGGCUGUGUCCAAGGCCAGCAAAGGAGUGGGGCAGCUCUCAGCUCUGCAAGCUCCAAGCUGGCCCUGAGCCCAGACAGCCGAACAGCCGGGAGGGGACCUGCUCUCAGGGCCCUCAGACAGGGCCCUCAUCUCUCUGUUUGCCCGUGCUGAAGCAUGGGAUAAGUCAGAGAGUUGCUAUGUGGUGUGGAAUGGUCCCUGAUGGCUUUAAAUCCCAUAAUUUUCCCUUUUGGAUUUAGGCUUGCCAGGUGUGACUGCUGCCUGUUGCCUGGUGGUCCGGCAAAUGAUUUUUCCAAACCUAUGGGAUCUGACAAAAUCAUGAGGUUACUCAGCACUUGCUGGAGCACCUUCUGGUGGAUAUGGGAUGGAGAGGACCCUGUGUUUGUGCACAGUGUGAGAUGGAUGACCAUUUGGGGAGUCCAACUGCAGAGUCAUCAAUAAUAAAGCACAGAAACUGA